UGUUUGAGAAAUAUUAUGCCAAAGACAGUAAGGGCGUUAAGCUUGAAAAUCUUACCGAGGAAUAAAAAAAUAACAAGUCUUUUAUCCCUCGCAAGUAGAGGGAUUUUAUUAUGGCAUA
rfam:Clostridium sp. CAG:302 genomic scaffold, scf81